GAUAGGGCGGGGGCGGAGAGAGAGAAAAGCGGAACGUCUUUGCCUUUGGAAAGAGCGGAGCGGCACUGCAGUUUUGUUCCAAUAGAGGUAACGGCUAUUAAAUGUGGCUCGGAUGUCUUGAGGAAGACGGAGGUGGGAAAAGGGGUCUUCCCCGGAUCUGAAUCGAAGAAACAGAAGCCGAGAGAGCAUCUAAUGGGCCACAGCCAGCCGUGACCCCAUCGCGCCAGACAAGGCUUGAAUGACUGCAAUGCUCCCCACCGCUUCUCUCUGCAGGAGCUGCCGCUCGCUGGCUGGGGUGAGCAAGCUUGCUUCUCCUCGCCUCCUGUCCUUCCUGUAAUGAAUGAUGCAGGAGAAAAAAGAGGCGGCGGUGGAAGGAGAGGAAGAGGAGGAGGAAGAAGAGGGGGAGGCGGCUGCCACCGCCGCGGCUGCUCCUCUGAAGCACAAAUCCUCUGCAACUCUCCCAGUAGGAGGAAAAGCAGCUUUGCCGCUAUGAGCUUACAUCACAAUCCCAGCUCUGGCUGCUGCCGUUUUUCUGGGCAGCAAGCAGGCGGGCAGCAGCUCAGCGAGGCCGGCGGGGACGGCCAGCGGCGACAUCAUCAUCAGCGGCAGCAGCAGCCCGAGAAGAAGCGGAGGAUGAUGCCCGCGGGCGGAGGCGGCGAAGGCCAGGCGCCCCCUAGGGUUGCCCCGCCGCAGCCGUCCCCUCAUCCCGGCCGGCCUCUGCUCUCCGCUUCCCUGCCCUCAGCCCGGCCCUCCGUUGGGACGCUGCGUUGGGACGAGGUGCCCGACGACUUCGUGGAAUGCUUCAUCCUGUCGGGCUACCGGCGGCUGCACUGCUCGGCGCAGGAAUGCCUGGCCUCGGUGCUGCAGCCCACCAACGAGACGCUCAACUUCUGGACCCACUUCAUCCCUCUGCUGCUUUUCGUCGGUAAAUUCUGCCGUCUGCUGGUGUUGCGCGAGGCCGGCGACCUGCCUUUCCAUCACCCGGCGCUGCUGCCGCUGUGGUGCUACGCCUCGGGCGUCCUGCUCACCUUUGCCAUGAGCUGCACGGCCCAUGUGUUCAGCUGCCUCUCGCUACGCCUGCGUGCCGCCUUCUUCUACCUGGACUACGCCUCCAUCAGCUACUACGGCUUCGCCAGCACGGUGGCCUAUCACUACUACCUGCUGCCCAAGCUGAGCUUGCUGCAGCCGCGCAUGCUCAGUCGCUACCUGCAGCAGCGCCUGGGCUGGCACGUGGACUGCAGCGCGCCCAUCGCCGCCUACAGCGCGCUGGUGCUGCCGGUCGCCUUCGCGCUGGCCGUGGCCUGCACCGUGGCCUGCUGCAAGAGCCGCUCCGAGUGGUGCGCCUACCCCUUCGCCAUCCGCACCUUCGUCUUCGUCAUGCCGCUCAGCAUGGCCUGCCCCAUCAUGCUGGAAAGCCUCCUCUUCGACCUGCAGGACCACAACCCCACCCUCUUCCUGCAUUUCUACCGCCGCUAUUUCUGGCUGCUGGUGGCUGCUUUCUUCAACAUCAGUAAGAUCCCCGAGCGGAUCCACCCGGGCCUUUUCGACAUCAUCGGCCACAGCCACCAGCUUUUCCACAUCUUCACCUUCCUUAGCAUCUACGACCAGAUGUUCUACGUAGAGGAGGGCUUGCGGCACUUUCUUCAAAGCCCUCCGCCCACCUCGCCUACGUUUGCGGGCACCAUCGGCUACAUGCUGGGCUUGAUACUGUGCCUUGCCCUGGUCAUCCGGAGAUUUUUAAAUGACCAAGAGGUCUGCAAACAGGAAUGAGAAACAGAUCAGAAGUCUACCACGUUUAACAGUAUCAAAAAUACUCCACAUUCUGGAGAAAGAGAAAUUACAUGAGGAGGUGCUCCAGCAUGAGCCCGAAAGCUUGGAAGAGUAAACCUUUGGUCCUGGUGACCGACUCAGAUUGGAUCCUGCAACAUUAUCCUGGGACUCAUAUAUUUGCCUUCAUUUGAUUUAAAUGUCUUUGAUUUCCCAUUCUUGUGUUCUGCUGUGAUAAAGAUUUACAAUAUGUACUUCAAGUACUAGAUCCUGGCUUGACUCGACAAAAAGCAUUAUAAGAUUAUUUCGUUCAGCAAACAUCCUCAGAUGAGACAUGCCAGAUCAGUCCCUCUGUGUCUAAGAUGAAUAAGGUCUGUAAUAUGCCCACGAGGCCAUCCUUCUCUUCUGGCAAAAAGGUAUGACCACAGAUAUGGGAAUUAAUAUUUUAAUAUUAAUUAAGACCACACCUAGAAUACUGCAUCCAGUUUUGAUCACUACAUUAUAAAAAAGAAGUUGAGGCUUGAGUGCAGAGAAUAGCAACAAAAAUGACUGGGGGCCUGGAGGCUAAAACAUAUAAAGAAUGGUUGCAAGAACUAAGAAUGGCUAGUCCAGUAAAGAGAAGGACCGGGGCUUCUCAUGAUAGCAGUGUUUCAAUAUUUGAGGGAUUGUCUCAAAGGAGGGGGAAACUGAUCAAAGAGAACUUCAACCUAGAAAUGAGAAAUUUUCUGCCAGUGAGAUCAAUUAGCCAGUGGAACAGCUUGCUUUCAGAAGUUGUGGUGCUUCAUCAUUGGGGCUUUCAGGAAGAGACUGGGCAGCCACUUGUCAAAAAUGAUAUAAGAUCAUCUGCUUGUGCAGGGGGUUGGACUAGAUGACGUACAACCUUCCAACUCUUGUUAUUCUGUAUUCUUACCAUGCCUUCUUUGAUGUAAGAUUCAUUGAGUUCAACAGUAUUUCGCUAAUAAACUGCAUAAGAUCA